rnacentral:rRNA from 1 species
GACAGAGGUCCCGAGCGUUAGGCGGAAUCACUGGGCUUAAAGCGUGUGUAGGCGGCGGCCUAAGUACCUUGUGAAAUCCCACGGCUCACCCGUGGAACUGCUCGGUAUACUGGGUCGCUUGAGCCACUUAGGGGCUACCGGAACAAAUGGUGGAGCGGUGAAAUGCGUAGAUAUCUGGAGGAACACCGGUGGCGAAGGCGGCAUCCUGGACCGGCAUUGACGCUGAGGAGCGAAAGCCAGGGGAGCAAACGGG